GAUGAACGCUAGCGGGAGGCCUAAUACAUGCAAGUCGAACGGGUGAAUUAGCUUCGGUUGGUUCACUAGUGGCGCACGGGUGAGUAACGCGUACGCAAUCUGCCCUAUGCUGGGGAAUAGCCCUGGGAAACUGGGAGUAAUACGCCAUAGUUCUACGGAUCUGCAUGGAUUUGUAGAUAAAGCUGCGGCGGCAUAGGAUGAGCGUGCGUCUGAUUAGGUAGUUGGUGAGGUAACGGCUCACCAAGCCGACGAUCAGUAAGGGGCGUGAGAGCGUGGCCCCUCACACGGGUACUGAGACACGGACCCGACUCCUACGGGAGGCAGCAGUAAGGAAUAUUGGACAAUGGGCGCAAGCCUGAUCCAGCCAUCCCGCGUGCUUGAUGAAGGCCCUCUGGGUUGUAAAGAGCUUUAGUCUGGGAAGAAACCGUUUUCUGCGGAAGACGCUGACGGUACCAGAAGAAUAAGCACCGGCUAACUCCGUGCCAG
rnacentral:rRNA from 1 species